ACAUUACAAGCCAGACACAACUGUCCUGUGAUAAAGAAGAAUGAUGUCCGUGCCACAUCUAGACUACUUCUAAUAUGGACUAGAAUUCCCCCUGCACCAAUAUUUCAUAAGCAUAUAUUAAAAGUAUGCUGUGAUGGGGUAUCCAUCCUUUUAAAAAAAUCUAUGCCCUUUUCAGAUUUUGAGGGGCCCUUGGGCUGAGUGCUCAAGCCUAUAUUUUUUAACCUCUCUUUCCUCCUCACUGUUUCUGCUGCUCAUUUUAUGCGCCUCUCCUGUGUCAUAUAUGCACCAGCUCUGAGAGGAGGCGAGAGGAGUCAAGUUUGUGGAAGGUACUGGUCCACCUUGCUCAUUUUGCCCCUUGCUCUCGUGGAGAGGGCAGGUGAUCAGGAAGAAACAGGUAGGAGGAGAAGGAGGAGUUCAAGGAAGCUCUGAGGAUUAGCAAUGGACCCCUAACGGGUGUGGGUCUCAGCAGGAGCCCUGCAGUGCCAAAGCUUGCUAUGAGUCCUUCCUGUUGCUGUUCAAAUUGCUAUGAUUGUGACUUAGGGAUGGAUGAAUCUGUCUUUUUCAGUUGCAGCUUCUCAUUAUCCCAGUCAUACCUUCAGUUCUCCACAUGUCUGCAGAGGUUUGCGAAACACUGGUCCUUGCUAAAAUUCAUCUGUAUUUUAGUGUGCAUGUCACCUAACAAUACAUGCACAUUUUUUGCAAGCCAUUUCCCCUGGUAUGAUGCAUUUUUAUAUGUUAUUUUCACCAAUGUAUGCAUUUCACUCCACACUUUCCAAUAAUGUAUGCAUUUUUGUACACAUUUUUGGGCUUGUGGUUUUUGCAGGUGGGGGAAUUAGAGAUGUGUGAACUUGAAAGUUAACCGUGUUUUUGUUUGUAUCAUAUUUCAGGAACUGGGAAUAAGGUGGGUUUCCAUUGAAUUAUUAUUUUUAUUGCUCUUAUUUUUUUUUUACAAAAAUAAUAUUUAUUACUUUUCCAAAAAAUUUAAACACUAAAAAAAAACCCAAUACAAUACAAUACAUUAAACUAUUGCUCUUAUUUGUCAAAUUGGUAUACUGCCCUUCAUCCAAAGAUCACAGGGCGGUUCACAACAUGAAAAUACAAAAUGAGAACACAAAAUAUAUCAUACAACAAAAACAAACCAAUAGCUCCCUUCCACAAAUACAUUUAUCAGACCAUAGAGUGUUUAAUCAGUCAGAGGCCUGGGUUAUAGAGAAACAUUUUCUCCUGGCAUCUGAAGAUAUGUCAUGAAGGUGGGGAGCCACCACAAAAAAGGCCUAUUCCUGUGUUGCCACUCUCCGGGGCCCUCAUGAAGCGAGCACACAAAGAAGGAUCACACAAAGAAGGAUCUCAGACAAUCACAGGGUCUGGCUUGGUUCAUAUGGGAAGUUAUUUUGGUCCUGAGCUAUUUAAGGCUUUAGAGGUCAAAACCAGCACUUUGAACUGAUCCCAGAAAUUCAUUGGCAGCCAGUGCAGUCGGGCCAGGAUCGGUGUAAAAUGCUCAAACUGUCUUGCCCCAGUGAGCAGCCUGCACCAGCCAAAGUUUCCAUCCCGUCUUCAGAGGCAGCCCCUAGUAUAACGCAAACUGAAACAGAUUUCUCCUUCAUCUCCCUUUUGUCUACAGCCACGUUGACAUGUAUUUAAAAUGGUUUCAUUGCCACUUCAAACAGUCGAGGAUCCUGCCAAACAAUUAUGGGAAGUGUUGUUUGUUAAAGAGCGCUCAAAGUUAUUAGGAGACCCCUUUUCUCCUCACAGAGCUCCAAUUCCCAUUGUUCCCUGUGAAGAGGGAUUGGUUGUUAAACCACUCUGGGAAUUGUAGUUCUGGGAGGGGAAUAUGGGCUUCCAAACAACUCUCAGCACCCUUAACAAACUACAGCUCCCAGAAUUCUUUGGGGGAAGCCAUGCCUGUUUAAAGUAGUAUCGUAGAGCUUUAAAUGUAUGGUGUGGAUGUGGAUGUGGCCUAUAUCAGCGUGCUACAAGAAAAGUAAAUAAUUUACAUUAGCGAUCCUGGAAAUGUAAGACUUUGUAUCAAUCCCAUGAAGCAUUAAGGGGGUACAGAGAACCCCAAGUCUCACCAGCCAUGCACACACACAUACACCCAGUCUAAUGUGACAAUGGGCUUGUUCCCAUGUUACGCUGAACACAGGUACCGGCUGCCCCUACACUUGUACAAGUGUUUGUGUGAAAGAGUGUGCACGUGUUUAUUUGUACAGCUCAGCUACUGGUGUGCACAGGUGCACAGGCUGUUCACGUAUUCAGAGGUGUAACGUGGCGGGGGGGCAGCAGGGGCCACCACCCCGGGUGCACAUUCAGGAGGGCACAACUGAGCCGCAACAGUCCUGAAGAUGACUGGCAGGGAGGUGGCUCCCUUUUCUGGCCCGGUAAUGUGCAGUGUGCAUGUUGCCUGAGCAGCCGGACAGGCUUCGAGUGGAGAGCGGGCAGCCGGGCAGGCCUUCCCCUGCAGGGGCAAAGCCCCCUCUCGCUGCCCAUCCCUUUCAGCGCCUAGGGAUGGCAUGACACACUUUUCUUGCACCAUGGCUCCUGCCGCUGCUGGUCACGCUGGGUUGCUGCUGCGCCAGGCAGCCCCCUCAGCUCCCUCCUGCCCCGGGGCCACCGCAGAGCCCCCAGACAAGGCCCCCGUACAGGAGCAGGCAGCUGUAGGCACAGUAGGGUGCCGCUGGAGCGCCCAGUGUGGACAUAGAAGCAGCCACGCAAGCUUUGGCCGGAAGCAUGCUGGCUCCUGGGCCAGACCUGCGGAGGUUCCUGUGGGCAUGCUAUGGGUAAACUGCGGCACAACACCCUUUUGCACCUUGCCCCGGGCACUAGCAAGCAACGCUACGCCACUGCAUUCAUUGAUUGUUACAUGUGAAUAACCGUAUGAGUGUACGGCCCAACUAUUUCUGUACACAGGUGCCCAGACGGCAAACCCACUGAAUGUGAUAUGUGAACACCCCCUAAUGACUGAUGCCUUUGCACCAAUGCCGUGUUUGAAACUGAUAGUCCGCAUUGCCAGCAUGUUGCCUCCCUGGCGCAUCCCAGGCUCACCUGGGUGAAGCCAGAUUUCAGGCUGUACAUAUUAAUAUUAUCACUGUCUUUUCUCCCCCCCCCUUCCAUUGAGCUCUUGGUGGUUAUUUAUUUAUUUAUUUAUUUUUACAUGUUAUUUCUGGUGACCAAUGUAGACUUGAUUUUAUGUUUUUAUGUAUAAAUAAAUUUGU